rnacentral:rRNA from 1 species
AACGAACGCUGGCGGCAUGCCUAACACAUGCAAGUCGAACGAGACCUUCUGGUCUAGUGGCGCACGGGUGCGUAACGCGUUGGAACCUGCCCUUAGGUUCGGAAUAACUCCCCGAAAGGGGUUCUAAUACCGGAUAAUGUCUUCGGACCAAAGAUUUAUCGCCAUUGGAUGGGCCCGCGUUUGUUUAGCUAGUUGGUAGGGUAAAAGCCUAACAAGGCGACGAUCCAUAGCUGGUCUGAGAGGAUGAUCAGCCACACUGGGACUGAGACACGGCACAGACUCCUACGGGAGGCAGCAGUGGGGAAUAUUGGACAAUGGGAGAAAGCCUGAGCCAGAAAUGGCGCGUGAGUGAUGAAGGCAUUAGGGUUGUAAAGCUCUUUUACCCGGGAUGAUAAUGACAGUACCGGGAGAAUAAGCUCCGGCUAACUCCGUG